GGGAGGAAGGUGGGGACGACGUCAAGUCAGUAUGGCCCUUACGGCCUGGGCUGCACACGUACUACAAUGCCCAGUACAGAACGAUCCGAGACCGCGAGGUGGAGGAAAUCUAGUAAAACUGGGCCCAGUUCGGAUUGGAGUCUGCAACUCGACUCCAUGAAGCCGGAAUCGCUAGUAAUGCCGUAUCAGCUACGACGGCGUGAAUACGUUCCCGGGCCUUGUACACACCGCCCGUCACAUCAUGGAAGUCACUUGUAGCCGAAGCCGGCGCGCUAACCCAGCAAUGGGAGGCAGCCGCCUACGCUAUGAGCGGUAACUGGGAUGAAGUCGUAACAAGGUAGCCGUAGGGGAACCUGCGGCUGGAUCACCUCCUUUCUAAGGAGA
rnacentral:rRNA from 1 species